rnacentral:lncRNA from 1 species
AUCAAAAUAAGUAAACCUUAAAAUAAAUUUUCUUACAUCAACUCUCUUUAAAUUAACCUACUAAAUGAAAAAUAAUAUUACUAGACAAAAAUAGUACCAUUUGAUGAAACAAAACUAUUAGAUGAAAAUAGCAUUGCUAAACAAAAACAAUGCCCUCGGAUGGAAACAAUGCAAAGCAGCAAUAGCAGCAAACCUCCAAGGCAGAGCAACAGCACUAGAAAAACUUCUCAACUUCAAACCAUUAUAACUUUUUCAUUUCAACUCCAAAUUUGAUGAUUCUUUCACCUAAUCUUAUUGAUUUUCUCUCUUCUACACAAUGAACAUCUCUAAAUAAAAAAAUUACUAAUAUUAAAUUCCAAGAGGACCAGCAAAGGUAUAAAACAAGCAAUUUAUAAUAUAAGUUUAU